GCAAGUCGAGCGGUAGCACAGAGAGCUUGCUCUCGGGUGACGAGCGGCGGACGGGUGAGUAAUGUCUGGGAAACUGCCUGAUGGAGGGGGAUAACUACUGGAAACGGUAGCUAAUACCGCAUAACGUCGCAAGACCAAAGUGGGGGACCUUCGGGCCUCAUGCCAUCAGAUGUGCCCAGAUGGGAUUAGCUAGUAGGUGGGGUAACGGCUCACCUAGGCGACGAUCCCUAGCUGGUCUGAGAGGAUGACCAGCCACACUGGAACUGAGACACGGUCCAGACUCCUACGGGAGGCAGCAGUGGGGAAUAUUGCACAAUGGGCGCAAGCCUGAUGCAGCCAUGCCGCGUGUGUGAAGAAGGCCUUCGGGUUGUAAAGCACUUUCAGCGGGGAGGAAGGCGUUAAGGUUAAUAACCUUGUCGAUUGACGUUACCCGCAGAAGAAGCACCGGCUAACUCCGUGCCAGCAGCCGCGGUAAUACGGAGGGUGCAAGCGUUAAUCGGAAUUACUGGGCGUAAAGCGCACGCAGGCGGUCUGUCAAGUCGGAUGUGAAAUCCCCGGGCUCAACCUGGGAACUGCAUUCGAAACUGGCAGGCUAGAGUCUUGUAGAGGGGGGUAGAAUUCCAGGUGUAGCGGUGAAAUGCGUAGAGAUCUGGAGGAAUACCGGUGGCGAAGGCGGCCCCCUGGACAAAGACUGACGCUCAGGUGCGAAAGCGUGGGGGAGCAAACAGGAUUAGAUACCCUGGUAGUCCACGCCGUAAACGAUGUCGAUUUGGAGGUUGUGCCCUUGAGGCGUGGCUUCCGGAGCUAACGCGUUAAAUCGACCGCCUGGGGAGUACGGCCGCAAGGUUAAAACUCAAAUGAAUUGACGGGGGCCCGCACAAGCGG
rnacentral:rRNA from 1 species